GCCAGCCCCGCGCUCUACCAGGCAGAGCGCGUGUGGCCGCCGAGCACAUGGACCCACUGGUCAAGCGGGCUCGGCAAGGCCAGGAUGAAGAGAAGCUACGAACUUAGCAUUCCCAGAGCCCCCCGAGUGGAUAUCCGCGUGGAAAGGAUGUUGGCAGCCCCGGUGACCUCGGAGUCACGGCUGGAUCCACCCUCUUGGGCUGGGACACUGCCUGAUUGAGGUGGCCAUUGAGAAUUCAAGUGUACCUCUUGGUCCCUGAUGCAGAAAUGAAGUCCCCAGCAUGCUCAAGAAGAGCUUCCUUGGAGGAUGAGAGGCAUGGGAAUCUAAGUAUACCCUUUAAGCGUUCCAGAAGGAUUUUGAGAUCCUUUCCUAAAUCAAAGGUGGAAUAUUUGGGGAUUUGGAAAAUUGAGAUGUGAAGCGUUGACUUAAGAGAUGCCAAGUAACUCAGCAGAUGUCACACAGACGAUAAAUAGCAAAGAUGGAAGUCUUCAUGCCGGAGGCAAUCCUAUAAGACAGCUGAGUUCUGCAGAGCUGGUAGGAGACAGACUUGCUCAGGUGAUAGAUCCAGCCAUGAUACUGACCCUAAGAGAAUGAGACGCUCUGCAGAAGACAGAAGAUUCCUGAAACUGGGAAAGGUGCCUAGAAAUCCUGAUAAGAGUGAAGAAGGAGCUGGCAGAGCAGCCUUCCUCCGCACUAUGAAAGACAUCCAACAGAGAGCAAGUUCCCACCUCACUUCCAGCUUGACUCCUUUUUAUCUCCUAACUGUGGUCUGUGAUGUCUUCAGCAAUGGUAUUAACUAGUUCUGGGUACCUGGAGGCACAGCAGCCAUGUUGAACCUAUGAGGUGAUGAAAAACCAUGCAACUAGAAACCAGAAUGGAAGAAAAGAAGAAGCUGGAUCCUUGACUGAAUUGUCGAUGGGGGAUAGUCCAUCAUCCCAGGGCUAAGACCACCUCCAGAUUUCUUGUUUGGUGAAACAAGUCCUGAUUGUUUACAUUCCCUCGUGUUGAGCUGUCUCUUGCUUGUAGCUGAAAGCAUUUCUAAUAGAUAUUCAGAUUAUCAGCCUUAGCUCCAAGCUAGAAUACUCUAUGGGACCUUAGCUUCUCCAUGAAUUCCUUUGCUCAUCUGUGUAAUGCUCAAUAAAUGUAAAUUGAACCCUGAAUGAGGGACAAUGACA
rnacentral:lncRNA from 1 species